rnacentral:lncRNA from 1 species
CAGUACUGAUUUCCAAACUGACUUUUAAAUUCUAAUUAUAAAUCUUGUAACACUAGAGCGUCCUUUAUGGAAAUUAUUAUAAUCUUUGAAAUUCAACAUUUUUGGCUCUUAUGAAAAAAAAACUGAAAAUUGAGUGUUUUUCCGAAAUCUUCAGUGUCUUUUUCAUAAGGAUGGAUUUUCAGCGCAUUUAAACUCCACGAUACCAAGAACUCCUAAGACCCAGCUGUUUUAAGAUAAUCAGAUUUUUUUUAAUUUGAAUUUUAGAAUUUUAAAGCCAGAAUCGAAUUUAAUGACUCCGAAAACCUUCAGAAAACAUUAAGAGCAUAAGUUACUUUUGUUUGAAAUCUUCGGUUUCUCCCUCUGAAAAAAUUAAAUGAAUAUUCUCUUUCUCUCUCUUCCUCUCUCACGUAUUGACGAUGUGUGUCACAGGUAUAUCUUAUCCACCACCGUCACCACCGCGAGGUGCUCUCAGACGAGGAUUCGCGUUACCACAAUCUCGGAAUCCGCCUUUGAUGAAAACGAGACACGUAAAUGCAUCCUUGACGCAAUCAGCACAAGUAACUAUGGGCAGUUCCGACACCGAAGUUAUCGAAGAAAGACGGAGAAGGAUAGAUCCUUCGCAGAGAAUACCAUCGACGAGCAGUAUCGUCGAGGAAAAGAAAUGACCUGCAAAUUGACCUGAAAGAAGAAUUUUCCAAACAUUUGGUGUGGACCACAUCGUCGACGUGGAUGUACGUGAUAUGUAAAGGCUCGACGUGAUAUGUAAUGUUCGACGUGAAAUAUAAUGUUCGACGUGAAAUGUAAUGUUCGACAUGGAUGUACGUGAUAUGUAAUGCUCAACGAGAUGCAUUCUUCUCUCUAUGUGUGAGUACUGCACACAGAAAAUUCGAGGAGCAUUGAUCUUCGAGGAUUGAUUGUCUCGCACUCUUUGGAAUCCUACAAAACGAGUCAAUCAAUACAUUACAAUCGAUUGGGGCCAUUCGAAAUCAACGUGUGAAGUUUGUACCACUACCGUAUCGCUACUUUUAUCUCGUUAUCUUCUUGUAAUUCGUAGAUGUCUCUUUGUAAUAAUUAAACUAAGUCCAUGUUAUCUAUGAUUAAUAUCGCAUCGUGGCGUUGUUGGCUGCGUGCAGUAUUAAAUACAGAUUUCGACUUAGACUUUUAAGCGAUGAACAGAAAGGCCUACUUAGAGUAAUUACAUUAAGAUUUCAUAGUGAAUGUAGGGCCGCAGCUAGCGUAUAAUACGCCUUUUUAAAGAAAUUCAUUUAGGCGCCUUAUGAUAGAACAAAAAUCUUUGAAGAAUCGAAGAAAAUUGAAAACUGAUUUCGAGCAAGGAAACCAGGAAUGUGCAAGAGUACAAGUUGGCGUCUUUCUUUCCCUUUUCCCAUUGUAGAGGCACAAUGCCUACCCAACGACCAAAAAAAGAAAAAGAAGGUUUUGACUACAAUUGCCUUGUUCAGACUUAACGCAUUAAUGAGAAAUAAGAGCGUACAAAGACAUCGAAACCUUUAAAAAUUUGUAGAUUUUAAAUCGCUGCGUUCAUUCUAAAGAAGUCUCAAUUUUACGGUGUGAUAUGUAAUCGACAUCGCAAUUCAGACAUCGAAAUGGAAAUGACAGUUAUUUCGUCUUUUAUUUAGCUAAUCAAUAUUAUCUAAAAAUUUAUUUUAUUCUUUGUUCAAUUAUUUCAGUACUUUAACUAUUUUAGAUUUUAACGAGAAAUGAUUCAAUAACUAUUGUUAACAUGUAGUUAACGAUCGUGAAGAAUGUGUCACAAAAUGAAUUAUUUUCCUGGCACAUCACUCUUUAAAAUUAUUAUUGAAUACUAAAAUAAUAACAUAACGAUUCAUUUACACAAAGCAUCGUAGAAGCUUUAAUUAUAGCGGAUCAGUUAUUUAAUCGAGAAACAAAAUAUAACUUUAAAUAAUUUAAUUCUUUUUUUUUUACAUAUUUUCAAACUUUUUUUUCUCUAAUAUCUUUUAUUUUUUUCAUUUAUAUGGCAUAUUGUCCUUGUACGGUGCGCAAUUGAUGUACGUGUGCAACGGCUUGGUGAAUGUCAUAACCUAAUGGGUUUAAUAAGUGGAAAGUAAUAAACCUCUCUAAGAAAUCUUAUCAAAAAAAAAAGAUCAUGGAUGUAACAGAUGACUGAACGGGAAUUAUUCAUACAAGUAAAAUAAAAGUAAAUACGAAGCUAAAAUACGUUAUAUUAAAUGAAAGUUUCUCGAAGAAAUGUAUGUCAAUAGAUAUGCAUCAUAAUCAAGAACAAUAGUAAUGUAUAUACAGAAAUUAAUAAAUCUCAAACAUCGAAAUGGAGAUAACAUUUGCUUCAUUCUUUCACUUGUUUAAUAUCCUCUUUGCCUAAAAUUAUUUUCUUCUCAUUCAAUUAUCUUGUUACUUCUAUGAAAAAAGAUUCGAUAGUCGUCGAAGGAUUGUAUGUCAACGUGUUGUCAACGUAUGUCUGGUUGAAGAUUGUUAAAAGAAAUGGGCCAUAGACGGUGCACUGUUUUCUGGCGAAACACGCUUUGAUGAACAAAGGAUAAAAACAGAAAAAUGUAAAAGAAGGAUGUUUACUUCCAAGCACAAAUCUUGAUUCAACGGCAUCUCACUUCAAGAUGAGGAAAAUAAGCCUCAACGAUCGCGAGACUGAUUUUUUUUAUUCAGUUACUUGGAAUGAAAUGUCGUUAUAAAUCGGAUGUGUAUUCAGAAUAAAUAAGUACCACCUGCCUAGAGAUAACAUUAGAUACAAUAAAAACCUGUCUCUCUCUAGAGAUAAUAUUAUGUAGAAAAGGAUGAUAGAGAGAAAGAAAGAGAUACAGGAAGAGACAGAGCAAUGUGAUUUUAUAUAUGAGCACCUAUUCGGUUCCUCUCGUUCCCUCGAUUCGUAUUGUUUGCUCUUGUAAACUUGAAGCAUUAAUUAUCUUCCACGAGAAUAUGAAUCAUAUGUAUGUACAAUUAUAUUCGAGAUUGAAAUAUAAUACAUAAUUUAUUAAUCAAGUGCGAUUAUUAAUGUUACCACCCACUCUACAAUUCGCGAAAGUCUUGUUUUAAGUGAUACUUGUAUUUUAUCGUGCUGCACUAAUACUAUUGUCUUCUGUAGUUUCAGUUUCGUAAAUUUUAAAUCGUAAUUAUCGUUCGACAAGGCUAACAAAUAAUAACAAUAAAUUAAAUAAAAAAUCUCUUCUUUUUGCAAGUAUAAUUUAAUUUAUUAUAUUAUAUUCGAUGAAAAUAUAGGCGCCCUUUGCAAUUUAAUGACUCAUGCUGAUAUAUAGUCUAAAUUUAAUUUCCUAUGUCCUCUCACAUUAGUUAUAGAUAUUUCUUAUAUCAACAACUUUCUGAAACGUCUUGAAAAUGUAUUCACCUUCAA